GACGAACGCUGGCGGCGUGCCUAAUCCAUGCACGUUGAGCGCUGAAUGUUGGUACUUGUCCCAACUGGAUGAGCAGCGAACGGGUGAGUCACGCGUGGGUAAUCUGCCUUUGAGCGGGGGACAACAUUUGGAAACGAAUGCUAAUACCGCAUAAAAACUUUAAACACAAGGCUUAAGUUUGAAAGAUGCAAUUGCAUCACUCAAAGAUGAUCCCGCGUUGUAUUAGCUAGUUGGUGAGGUAAAGGCUCACCAAGGCGAUGAUACAUAGCCGACCUGAGAGGGAGAGAGGCCACAUUGGGACUGAGACACGGCCCAAACUCCUACGGGAGGCAGCAGUAGGGAAUCUUCGGAAAUGAACGAAAGUCUGACCGAGCAACGCCGCGUGAGAGAAGAAGGUGUUCGGAUCGUAAAACUCUGUUGGUAGAGAAGAACGUUGGUGAGAGUGGAAAGCGCAACAAGUGACGGGAACUACCCAGAAGGGGACGGCUAACUACGUG
rnacentral:rRNA from 1 species